rnacentral:tRNA from 1 species
UUUUAUCUAAUUUUAAUUAAAAUAUUUAUUUGUCAAAUAAACAAUACCCUGUGGGGUGAUAAGUA